AUUGAACGCUGGCGGCAGGCCUAACACAUGCAAGUCGAGCGGCAGCACUUCGGGUGGCGAGCGGCGAACGGGUGAGUAAUACAUGGGAAUCUGCCUGGUAGUGGGGGAUAACUCUGGGAAACUAGAGGUAAUACCGCAUACGCCCUACGGGGAAAGGCGGGGGAGUCUUCGGACCUCGCGCUAUCAGAGGAGCCCAUGUCCGAUUAGCUAGUUGGUGAGGUAAAGGCUCACCAAGGCGACGAUCGGUAACUGGUCUGAGAGGAUGGUCAGUCACACUGGAACUGAGACACGGUCCAGACUCCUACGGGAGGCAGCAGUGGGGAAUAUUGGACAAUGGGGGGCAACCCUGAUCCAGCCAUGCCGCGUGUGUGAAGAAGGCCUUCGGGUUGUAAAGUACGACUUAAGUCAGGGAGGAAGGACGUCGCAGAUUAAUAAUACUGCGGGAGUGGACGUUACCU
rnacentral:rRNA from 1 species